rnacentral:rRNA from 1 species
UGGGGAAUAUUGGACAAUGGGCGAAAGCCUGAUCCAGCCAUGCCGCGUGAGUGACGAAGGCCUUAGGGUUGUAAAACUCUUUCGUCGGGGACGAUAAUGACGGUACCCGAAGAAGAAGCUCCGGCUAACUUCGUGCCAGCAGCCGCGGUAAUACGAAGGGAGCUAGCGUUGUUCGGAAUCACUGGGCGUAAAGCGCACGUAGGCGGAUAGUUAAGUCAGGGGUGAAAUCCUGGGGCUCAACCCCAGAACCGCCUUUGAUACUGGCUGUCUCGAGGUCGAGAGAGGUUGGUGGAAUUCCUAGUGUAGAGGUGAAAUUCGUAGAUAUUAGGAAGAACACCAGUGGCGAAGGCGGCCAACUGGCUCGAUACUGACGCUGAGGUGCGAAAGCGUGGGGAGCAAACAGGAUUAGAUACCCUCGUAGUCCCUGAGCGGGCUGGCAAGGCGCAU